UGGGGAAUAUUGCACAAUGGAGGGAACUCUGAUGCAGCGACGCCGCGUGAACGAAGAAGGCUUUCGAGUCGUAAAGUUCUUUUAUAUGGGAAGAUAAUGACGGUACCAUAAGAAAAAUCCCCGGCUAACUACGUGCCAGCAGCCGCGGUAAUACGUAGGGGGCUAGCGUUGUCCGGAAUCACUGGGCGUAAAGGGUUCGCAGGCGGAAAUGCAAGUCAGGUGUAAAAGGCAGUAGCUUAACUACUGUAAGCAUUUGAAACUGCAUAUCUUGAGAAGAGUAGAGGUAAGUGGAAUUUUUAGUGUAGCGGUGAAAUGCGUAGAUAUUAAAAAGAAUACCGGUGGCGAAGGCGACUUACUGGGCUCAUUCUGACGCUGAGGAACGAAAGCGUGGGUAGCAAACAGG
rnacentral:rRNA from 1 species